GACGAACGCUGGCGGCGUGCUUAACACAUGCCAGUCGAACGGAAAGGCCCUGCUCUUGCGGGGUGCUUGAGUGGCGAACGGGUGAGUAACACGUGAGUAACCUGCCCUUGACUUUGGGAUAACUUCAGGAAACUGGGGCUAAUACCGGAUAGGAGCUUCUGCUGCACGGUGGGGGUUGGAAAGUUUCGGUGGUUGGGGAUGGUCUCGCGGCUUAUCCGCUUGUUGGUGGGGUAGUGGCUUACCAAGGCUUUGACGGGUAGCCGGCCUGAGAGGGUGACCGGCCACAUUGGGACUGAGAUACGGCCCAGACUCCUACGGGAGGCAGCAGUGGGGAAUAUUGCACAAUGGGCGGGAGCCUGAUGCAGCAACGCCGCGUGCGGGAUGACGGCCUUCGGGUUGUAAACCGCUUUCGCCUGUGACGAAGCGUGAGUGACGGUAAUGGGUAAGGAAGCACCGGCUAACUACGUG
rnacentral:rRNA from 1 species